rnacentral:rRNA from 1 species
AUGCCAUGCAUGCAUGGCUUUUCUUCUUUUUCCUUUUUGAUAAAUAUUUUUCUUUCCGGUGUGAUUCUGAUGCAUUAUGUUUGCAAAGAUAGUUCAGUUCACUCCAGAAAAGUGAUUGAGCAGCCAGUAACAAAUGAGGCCCUCAAUCCUCAUGUGUAUGGACAUCGAUCACAGACUGUAACACUCCACUCCACUUUGUGCAGCAUGGAGUUCCUCUGUUUAGUUCUUUGCUUCAUUGUUACGUUGGGAAGCAAUCCUUUUCCCUUGGCUGUAGUAAUGUGUUUUCUUCAUUCCUGUGAUAACUACUGUGUAUGUUUCUGA